GAUGAACGCUGGCGGCGUGCCUAACACAUGUAAGUCGAACGUGAGGGUUUGAGCAAUCGAGCCUGAAAGUGGCGAACGGGUGAGUAACACGUAGGUGACCUGCCCUGGAGUGGGGGAUAACCACUGGAAACGGUGGCUAAUACCGCAUACGACCAUUAUUGUGGGAACAGUGAUGGUGAAAGGUUAACUGCUCUGGGAGGGGCCUGCGGUCGAUUAGCUAGUUGGGGGGGUAACGGCCCACCAAGGCGAUGAUCGAUAGCUGGUCUGAGAGGAUGAUCAGCCACACGGGAACUGAGACACGGUCCCGACUCCUACGGGGGGCAGCAGUGAGGAAUAGUGCACAAUGGGGGAAACCCUGAUGCAGCAACGCCGCGUGGAGGAUGAAGGCCCUUGGGUUGUAAACUCCUUUUCUGUGGGACGAGAGAGGACGGUACCACAGGAAUAAGUCACGGCUAACUACGUGCCAGCCGCCGCGGUAAGAC
rnacentral:rRNA from 1 species